CAAUGAUUGUAAUAAUCAAGGGUACCGUUAUUUGAUACUCAUAUGUUGAUACUAUCUCCAAAGCUUCUAAUACAUUUUUAUAUGUUUAUUUUAUUUUAGGUUGCAAGUUUUUUCUCAACAAAUCAUAUAUAUAAAAGUAAUGUUUCACUCUCUCUUUAUUGGUCCAUUUAAUAUUUAAUUUUAAUCAAAACAAAAAAAAAAGACAUUUAAUCAUAUACAUUUAUUCAUACUUUAAAUCCACACUUUACUACAUCACUUUUAUCUUAUAAGUAGCCAUUCUCACAUUCUCCUCUACCAUAUCUCAUUUCUUCAUUAUUUUAUUUGUUUUUAAAAAAAUUUCUUUCAUGGGGUGAAAACUCAAUUAAGAUGUCAUUGUAUGUGUUUGAUUAAAUAUUUGGUUUAGACUUUUCUUUUCAAUUUUAUUUAUUUAUUUUUGUUUUUAUGUAUUUAUU
rnacentral:lncRNA from 1 species